AAUAAGCCACUUCCAAACCGUUGCAACAGAUACAUUUCAGUUCCCAAAUCAUGCUGCUCCUCCCGCCUCUCUCCCCGCCACUAUUUCGCGCCGCCAAUUUCACCCCUGUCCGCCAAUUGCGGCCGAUUAUUCUUCCCGGCCGUCUGCUAGCCACGCCGGCUGCGGCGUCUGAUAAAGUGGAUGCCUUCACGGAGUAUUCUGGGUACCUCUUCGAGCUAAGUUCAUCGGAAGCCGAAUCCUUGACUGAAUACAAUAUAUCUAAAAUCGCCGCUAUAUAUCAGAAGAAGCCUCUGAUUCUUCUCCGUCGGCUGUUCCAAAUAGCCAACACACUUGGCAAGUGGUUCGCCCGCCGCUACUACGACAGCGUCACAGAACGCGCCGAUUUGAUGUUUGAGGUUAGAGCUGCUGAGUUGAGGGAGAUAUUAGUACAACUUGGUCCGGCUUAUAUUAAGAUAGCUCAGGCUAUUUCGUCUCGCCCUGAUUUGAUACCACCUUCAUAUUUGGAUGAGCUCUCAGUCCUGCAAGAUCGAAUUGCACCAUUUUCCACAGAAGUUGCCUUUGAUAUAAUAGAACAAGAACUUGGAUUACCAAUAGAUGAACUUUUCUCUGAAAUCUCUCCUGAGCCGGUGGCAGCAGCAUCACUUGGACAGGUUUACCAAGCUAGGCUUCGCUACAGUGGGAAGGUUGUUGCUGUAAAAGUGCAGAGGCCUGGUGUUAGAGCUGCAAUCUCGUUAGACAUACUAAUCUUGCGUUACCUGGCAGGGGUGAUAAGGAGGGCAAGAAAAUUUAACACUGACCUUCAGGCAGUUGUUGACGAGUGGGCAUCAAGCCUUUUCCGGGAGAUGGACUACAAGAGAGAAGCAGAUAAUGGAGUUAAAUUUAGACAGUUAUAUGGCAGUAUUCAAGAUGUUGUGGUUCCUGAAAUGUAUGUUGACCAAACAACUUGCAAGGUUCUCACCAUGCAAUGGGUUGAGGGUCAAAAGCUGGCGGAAGUGAAGGAUCUUUACAUGAUCGAGGUGGGAGUUUAUUGUUCGUUCAAUCAACUUCUGGAGUUUGGAUUCUAUCACGCUGAUCCACAUCCUGGAAACCUGCUUCGCACAUAUGAUGCGAAACUAGCAUACUUAGACUUUGGCAUGAUGGGUGAAUUCAAGCAAGAACUACGUGAUGGCUUCAUUGAAGCUUGUCUCCAUCUUGUAAAUCGCGAUUAUGAUGCACUUGCAAAAGACUUUGUAACCCUUGGGCUUCUUCCUCCAACAGCUGACAAAGAUGCUGUUACAAAGGCAUUAACAGGUGUUUUUCGGAAUGCGGUUUCCAAAGGGGUACGCAACAUAAGCUUUGGAGAUCUUCUUGGAAAUUUGGGAACCACCAUGUACAAGUUCAAAUUUAGAAUUCCUUCUUAUUUUUCUCUUGUCAUUAGAAGUCUAGCUGUUCUGGAGGGAAUUGCUAUCAGCUUCAACCCAGAUUACAAAGUUCUGGGAAAUACAUAUCCUUGGAUUGCGCGGAAGGUGCUUACUGACAGUUCACCUAAGUUACGAUCGUCUUUGCAAGCGCUGCUCUAUAAGGAUGGAGUAUUCAGGAUGGAUAGAUUAGAGUCUCUCUUAACAGAGUCAUUACGUGCCAGGACAGAGAGAGCAUUUGUGAGAAAGCAGAUAGAUGAUGAUUCUAAGAUGGUUAUCAAACAAAUUCUGUCCUUUGCUUUGAAUGAGAAGGGUGCAUUUGUGAGGGAAGUACUUCUUGACGAAUUAGCAAAGGGUUUGGAUGCCCUAGGAGUAGCAACCUUGGAUUCAGUAACAUCUGCGAUGACUGCAAACUUACCCUUCAGACCAAAUUCUAUUUCUUCAAUGACUGAUGAAGAUAUCACCAAUCUGAGAACACUACGACGCCUCAUGCUAUUAAUUUCAGGGCUUCAACAGACUGAAACUUCUGCGAUGUUCCUUCUUGCAGGAAGUCAAAGGAGUUGGCUCAUAUGACACUCAGAAAUCAUUCCCAAAUGAAGCAGCAUUCCUCCCUUAUGGAUUAGUAUCUGGUCAAGAAAUGCUACCACUUCUAUCUGCAAUUGCUGAGCUCCCACCGGAUUCACAGCAACAGUUAUUAAGAUUGCCCGCAGACCUGGCUGGAAAAUUAGUUUCUCGUGUUGCCGCCAGGACAAUAAGACGGGCUUUCCUAUAAAAAGAUCUUCAUGCUUCAAUUCUUGGGUCACAAUACCAGGAUGAGUCGUUACAGAAGAUCCAUACAAGCCCAACUUCGUUUACUACAUACAGGUUAAAAAUGGUUGCUAUUUAUAGUAACUGCAGAUACCUUUACAUGGAAAUAGAGACAUUGUAGUCCCCUUCCUAAAAAUAGAGCACUCAUGAAACUUCCAACUGAGAAGCUUGCAACAAGCUUAAAUUGGCAGCUCACCUUCAGUCCCUUAUACACAACCUCAAAACGGAAGGGAAAGGAAUCCAAAUGCAAGAAGAAUAGUUUACAAAUGAUACAUGUGGAUUAGGUCAAUUGUCAUAAACCCUCUCUUGUCGAUGUUUUUAAAUCCCCACUGACACUGUUUGAGAUUGCAGCAGCUCUCUGCUUUCAUAAGUUGGUCCAUCAAUUUAGUUAUCGCCUUUGUUCAAUUCAU